UGGUGCUAGCACCUCCUUCAUGUGUGUGGCGGGGGAUUAAAUGAGAAAAGGCAUGUAGACGCUUAGCACUGUGCCUGGCUAUAGUUGAGUACUCACUCAAUGGUAGCUUUUCUUUCUAUAUUAAUGAUAUUAACAACAGUCAUGAUAAAAAGUCAUAUUUAAAAUGAUUAAGGCAAGACAGGGCCCAGGUCAGCUGCACUCACACGCGGCCACCCCAGUGCCUCCUGCCUGCCUUCUUCCAAGGUGACCCAGCUUGGCGGUGCCAGCUCUGCCCAGGGCUGCUGAGUGAGGUUUUUCUGGGCCUCCCAGAUGGUGGUUCCCACGUGCUUGGGCACAGGUCUGCUCAUGGACAUCUGCUCUCCAGAAGCCACUUGGGAGAAGUGCCUCACAGCUGCUGCCUCUGCCCAGUUUGCAGAUGCUGCCUCCCGUCUCGGGUUCGUCUUCCAGCAUUCUUCAGAUUGGAAAGCCCUAAGAAAGAUAAGCCUUGAGAAGAAGAGUGAAAAUACCCCAGGCGGUAUUCAUGACCCAGCUACUGAAGAAGAGGAAGGAAUCUGGGGACCAGACUUGUGGCCAGGCCUCUGCAUUCAUGUGUAACCACACAUGAGCUUUCCAGAAGAGAGCGCCAGAAUGAUCUUCCUAUUACUCACACGCACAAUGUCUUAGAGCUCUCGCUAUGGGAUCUACAGUAAGUUAACCCAACAUCCCACAUCUGCCUCUUAGUAGAGCCAAAGAAUAGUUACUGAUCUUGGUCAGUGUAACAGCUGACUCUACGCUCAGAGUUGUCACCUCCACACUAAAUGACUACAGUCCCCUCUCUGUGUCUAUGGGGCAAAUAUGAUGGUGUAGAAUAUGCCCUAGGUUAGGCAUCUGAGCACCUGGAUUCCAGCUGAGUUUUUGCUACCAGGCAUUUAGAAGCUAAGUCUUGGGUUCAGUUUCUUCAUCAGCCAAAUAAGGGAUCGGGCUAGCUCAUCUCUAAACUCCCUUCUUACUCUCAUGAACCAUUCCUCAAAGGUAAAUUCCUAGCCUAGAAUCAUUCUCCACAAUGAAUCCUAUUUGCUUUCCACCAAAAACAGGAGGGACAAAAAGGAGAGGGAACAAGAAAUUCAGACAUGUUGUUUUCUCA